GUGUCUGCACCUAAAUUAAAAAGUUAGGCGCACCAGUGCAACCAAGGCAGAAAGUUAGUCUGGAGCCCUUGAAUGUGUUUUUUUGA